GAUGAUCAUAGCAUUAACGGUGAAGCACUUCCAGAUGGAAGUCAAGAGGGAGUUAGAAGGUUUCAGCAGUUGCGUUUGAAGCUUAAGAUGGCCAAUAACUGGGCUGGUGUUUCAAGAUUCAGCCGUGUAAAUUGUGAAACUAAUUGUGAUUGGAUAGUAAUUGUCCGUCUAAUUAAUGCACUGAUUAUUGUUUUAAAAUAGAAAGUACAAAUAUAAAUAUAAAUAUAAAAGAACAAACA